GCGAAAGUGGUGAAAUUGGCAGACACGCUAGAUUUAGGUUCUAGUACCACAAGGUAUAGGGGUUCAAGUCCCCUCUUUCGCA
rnacentral:tRNA from 1 species